ACCUGGCUGGCUCAGUCAGUUGAGCGUCUGACUUCAGCUCAGGUCAUGAUCUCGUGGUCCGUGAGUUCGAGCCCCGCGUCGGGCU
rnacentral:tRNA from 1 species